CCAAUUAUAUCUAUGAUUCAGUUCCCAUUAGUAUUGUUUAUCGUAAAUUUCUUCUCCUUUUUUUUUAAAAAAAAUACAAACUUCAUUGGCGUUGGCAGUAACUGUUAGAGCAGAUUGACAUGGCGGUUCUUCCCACCACAAACUGCCACACAUCCCAAAACCUGAACCCAAUCUUCUUCGCCGGCCGCUGCCAUCAACGGCCCUGCUCUGCCGCCGGCUUCAGUAUUCGAUUUAAUUGCCGGAAGCUCCGUCGCUCGUUAAUCCUAAGCGAAACGCGCGCCACAUCGAACUCAAGCGCGAACAGCGACCAAGAUGGCGAAGUGGACAAUUUGGGGGUUAAAGCUGCACUAUCCAUGCUUAAAUUCUACAAACGAGAAAUCUCACCGCUAUUGCCAAAUAGUUGUCGCUAUUUACCCACAUGUAGUGAGUAUUCGAUGCAAGCUUACAAGAAAUACGGUGUUGCCAAGGGUACUAUCUUGACUGCUUGGCGUCUCUGUCGCUGCAAUCCCCUUGGUGGAUCUGGGUUUGAUCCUCCUCGGUGGUUUGAUGAAGAAAGAUUGCCAGAACCAGAAGAUUGACAAUUUCAAAUGCUGCAUAUAAUUUGUUAGUAUGUGAUACGGACCAAGAGUUCACUGUGAUGAGUUUUUCAGUUUUCUUUCCUGAUAUUGCAUUCUUGGAAGAAGGGUAGUGUAAAGUUGCUGCAUUCCCGAGUCAUUUGGUUUUGAAAAGGUUGUGUUGGUUGAUUGUUGGGGUGAAUUUGUGAGAGCUAAUUCCCUGUGCAGAGCGAAGAAUGUUGUAGAAAAUAGCAUGUUACACCAAUAUUUUUGUAACUGGAGUUGUGAAUGUGGAACUUGUUCUGAGAAAGUAACAUAAUAUUAUGUUAGAUUACAAUUGUGAUAUGCUGACUUUAGCUUAUACUGAUCAUAUUAAAUGUACAAUAUCUGUUUUCUUUUUUUAUUA